AAAAAGUUUGUUCCUUUUUAUGCCAAGUGUUUAGUGCAGGAAUAAAAAAGAACAAACUUUUUUCGCAAAGCGAGUUUCUGUCCUAAAUUUCACGUCGUUCAUGGUCAAUAAGAAACUCAUCGUUCAAAAUGGGCAUCGAUAUUAAUCAUAAACAUGACGAGAGAAGAUGUGGCGAAUGUAAUCGAAGUCCUAAGAUGUAUAUUUACAACUUCUGGUCAAGGAAUGGUUCUUUAUGAACAAAAUUUAUCAACCAUCUAUUUCGUUCAUAUGUAUUGAUGAAGAAACUUGGAAGAGAGAAUUGCAUCACAAUAGUCGUUGGUACUAUCACUGAUGACACUAGAAUCUUUGAGAAAUUUCAAAAUUAAUGUUCCUCGGGUUUUUCUUCGUCGUCCGAUUGCGUUUCCUCUACGGCAGUAACAUCCGGAAAAUAUAAUUUGGAUUCUUCGAUAGCCUUCUCCGGAUUUUCGCUUAUAUGAUAAGGUCCAAUUCCGGCGAAGCCCAGAAAUGCUUCGCAACCUACUUUCUUCACUGUGCAGACGAAUAUUUCGUAACUGUGAAUGAAACGUGAAAUAAUUUAAUGCCCAGACGUUCUCGAUUUUCGCUGUACCCUUUUAUGACGCAACAUCUUUGAAGCUGGAAGAAUAUUAAUCUCGCAGAUCGCGAUUACGAAACUAGUUCUACUAGCUCUUUUCGCCGAAGAUGUGAAUUUCGAUAUCGGAUCAAUUGAUCUAACUUCGGCAAAGUGAAGAGAAGUACUGCUUUAAUCGCGUAUUUUCUGUUCGUUUGCAUAGGCUCGGCUUUCGGGUUCGCUUUCGACCGCACGGGGACAUCGGCGACAUUGUAGGCACGCGAUAUAAUAUAAUGAUUAAUGAGCUUGUGAUACAAAUACACGCAGAGGUAAUUACGGUGCAGAAAAAUGAGGGUUCUGCGAAGUUAGUUCCCCUAUAUAAUAGCCUGUCACAAGACAUUAACCCGGAUAU